CUCUCUUUGGUAGGGAUUACUAUGCCAAAAGAGGGUGAAUGAUUUGCUGCUUUUUUUUUAUGCCUUUUUUGAUUCAUUUGGGCAUUCAGUUCUGCUUCUUUAUCUGAACAAGGGAGCUAGAACAAGAGUCUUUGUGACUAACAAUACCAGGCUCCCCCCACACAAUGGAAAGCAUGAUGGGGGUUCCCACCACCUCAGUGGAAAGAGAGGCAGACACCACGGCCCCUCCCAUGCGCCCUAGGCAAAACCCACUGGAGGCCUUCUGGAGGCUGUACUACAAGCCUAUCCUCCUCACUGCCACGGGAAUGGUGUUCAUUGUCAUCGCAUCCAUCACAAGCUUCCUCUACCUCAACAACUAUGUGAACAAGCAACCUGCUAUUGGACCGGUCUGCAUGGUCCUGGGACUUCUCUCUUGCCUGAUUGGACUGAUGUGGAUGAUUAAGAUUAAAAAUUCCUUGGAAGAUCAGGAACCUCCAAGAGAUCAGGUGGUCUACCGGCAGGGGACCAUCAGCAUCCUCAAGUGGGAGGGGUCCUCACCAACAGAAGCGGGCAGAAGUGAUCCCCCAUCAUCAGAAUCCAGAAACCUCUUGUAGCUCUUAAUUAAUGAAUCAACUUUUAAUCCUCUCUGCUUUCAAGCAUAAAAUGAACUUUUGUAUGGAACUUUAAUAAAUAUUUUCUUCCAAAAUGCA